rnacentral:lncRNA from 1 species
UAUGUCAGGAGCUUAGAAAUUUCCUGUUUUAAUUUCAUAUAUAUAUAUAUAUAUAUAUAACCUGUGUGGAAGAGUAGAUCCACUUAGAGAAUGGUAGUUGUGAGAAAUCAUAACUAGACUCUUCAGGAAAUUUUUGCUUAAGGAGAAGUCACGACAUCAACACUGUUUCAGAAAGAAGUGUACAGAAGAGCUUUGUGCACUUAUUUGUUUGUACUAUGCAAUAUUCUGCCUUCUGCUGCAUUUUGUGCUGCACUGCAGCAAUUUAUGUUCUCAGAGACAGCACAACACCUGCAGGAGCCUCCGAACAACAUCAGGGGAAUUCCAGUCAUUGUGACGCAUCUCCUGAAACCAUUUUCUAGAUAUUCCUUCCAUGAGUUGCUUCCAUCAGGAACUUCCAUAGAAUUUGGCAGCCUAGAAGAUGGACAUUUGACAGGCCACAAUAGACUGCUCCUUUCCCAGGUAUCUCCUGCUUGUUUCCUUUAUCUGUGAAUAGGAAAUGGCUUAAAGGCACCUGUGUUAUGAAGGUCCCAGGGGCAGCUGCCUGACUAGUGAAUGCCUGAUUAUGUGUUAACAUGCUUUGUCAGAUAUUGGCAGAAUCUGUUCUCUUCUUUUGCCUUUUCAGCAAGGGUACCAUUGACAGACUGGCUACCCAUUUAUAGAAAUGUUGUCCAUCAAACUGUGAGGAAGGACAAUGGUGUUUUUCUGUGACCAGUGACUGUGGGAAACUUUUCUUUGGCUAUUCAGGCAAUUUUUGUAGCUUGCUCUGAAGAGGAGAGACUGAUGAGUGCAAAAAGUACAAUUAAGCAAAGCCAGACUUCAAUUGAAGGCUGUAGUGUAGUCUGCUUGUUCUCAUUUUUUAUUUGGAAAAAAAUCUAUGGGUUUUCACGUUGCUGUGUGGCAUUCAGCGGGGGGCUAUUACAAUCCUAAAUUUUUUUUCUAGACCACCUAAUUCUAAGUAAAAAUUAAAUGUAAUGAGAGCCACUUGGAGUUCUGAAUAUUUUAAAGCAUAAUUCCCACAGAAGGGAUUCGACCUAAACUGUGGAGAGCAUCAGUUGGCUAAUUAUAGCUGCAUUUUAUAUUACAGCAGGUGUCAGAUGCAGUCAUCUCAAUAAAGUCCACAUAAUACUCUGAAAAAUAACA